rnacentral:rRNA from 1 species
UACGUAGGGGGCAAGCGUUGUCCGGAUUCAUUGGGCGUAAAGAGCGUGUAGGCGGCCAGGUAGGUCGGUUGUGAAAACUGGAGGCUCAACCUUCAGAGGUCGACCGAAACCAUCUGGCUAGAGUCCGGGAGAGGAGAGUGGAAUUCCUGGUGUAGCGGUGAAAUGCGUAGAGAUCAUGAGGAAGACCAGUGGCGAAGGCGGGUCUCUGGACAGUUCCUGACACUGAGGCACGAAGGCCAGGGGAGCAAACGGG